CCUACGGGAGGCAGCAGUCGAGAAUCAUUCACAAUGGGGGAAACCCUGAUGGUGCGACGCCGCGUGGGGGAAUGAAGGUCUUCGGAUUGUAAACCCCUGUCAUGUGGGAGCAAAUUAAAAAGAUAGUACCACAAGAGGAAGAGACGGCUAACUCUGUGCCAGCAGCCGCGGUAAUACAGAGGUCUCAAGCGUUGUUCGGAAUCACUGGGCGUAAAGCGUGCGUAGGCUGUUUCGUAAGUCGUGUGUGAAAGGCGCGGGCUCAACCCGCGGACGGCACAUGAUACUGCGAGACUAGAGUAAUGGAGGGGGAACCGGAAUUCUCGGUGUAGCAGUGAAAUGCGUAGAUAUCGAGAGGAACACUCGUGGCGAAGGCGGGUUCCUGGACAUUAACUGACGCUGAGGCACGAAGGCCAGGGGAGCGAACGGGAUUAGAUACCCUAGUAGUC
rnacentral:rRNA from 1 species